GUGUCAGCAGCCGCGGUAAUACGUAGGGUCCAAGCGUUAAUCGGAAUUACUGGGCGUAAAGCGUGCGCAGGCGGUUGUGCAAGACCGAUGUGAAAUCCCCGGGCUUAACCUGGGAAUUGCAUUGGUGACUGCACGGCUAGAGUGUGUCAGAGGGGGGUAGAAUUCCACGUGUAGCAGUGAAAUGCGUAGAGAUGUGGAGGAAUACCGAUGGCGAAGGCAGCCCCCUGGGAUAACACUGACGCUCAUGCACGAAAGCGUGGGGAGCAAACAGGAUUAGAAACCCUGGUAGUCC
rnacentral:rRNA from 1 species